AGGAAACAACCUCACAGGCACUGACGUCCACAUCUGGAGAGGCUGAGCUGCCAGCAAAAACUCUUUGUCUACGAACGGUACACCUAUAGAGACAAGCCUUUUUCUCCCAAGACUGACCAGGGUGACCAUGAAGAACACAAGCCUGAACCUGCCCCAGGCCAGCUGAUAGGGUGACUGACUUACCUGGGAUACAAUGAGUACCUGCUGCAACUAAGCCACUCCAGCUCCCAGCCCUGAUCGCUUCAGCACCAUUUUCUUGGAUUAAAUGGAGUUUGACCUCAUAGUCACUGUGUAUCAGAGGUGAGGUUAGACCAGUGCAGGUAAAAUGGGAACCGGCCAGCUGCCUUGCGUUCCUCCAUCUCCUCCCAGCUUCGAAGGCUGAGGCAUUUCCUUCUCAGGUGAAAGUCCCUCUCCCUCUCCCCCUCUCCCUCCCCCUCCCACUCCCCCUCCCCUCCCCCUCCCUCUCUGGGGUAUCGAGGGUAGAAAGAAUAUCAGACCCAAGGUGACAGCUGUGUCACAGAGGAAGCAGUGGCUGACUACAUUGUAUGGUUAGUGCUACAGUGUUUUACUCGUCCUGGGCACAAAAUAUCUUAGAGCUGUGUUGAAACAGAGAUGACCAUCCUCCAGAUUGGAUUUGGUAUUAUAUACUUAUUACUACUAUGCUAAUUUCUUCCUCUGAUAGCAAAAAUAAAUUAGAAAUGAAACGUUUUUUAAUGAGAAUUUGAAUAUAACAUGGCAAGCUCAGCCUGGUGGGACAGUCCCUUCAUCCUAGAGAAGAGUGAAUUCAAAACCUUCCCAUGCUGCACUGCAGGGUGAGUUCAAGACCAACCUGGGCCAUUCAGUAAGAUCCUGUCUCAAAAUAUAAAGGGAAGAAGGCUGGGGAUGUGACUCAGUGUUAGAGCACCUUGUCUCCAUGCUCAAGGCUCUAUAUAAACAAAACAAACAAACAAACGAAUAAAUAACAAAUAUUCAGGGUUCUAGGUAUUCCUUAUGCUGUGAAUAAAGACUAAAUUGUCCUUGGGUGGCAAUUGGGGUUUUCAGGUGCCCAAGGCUUGCUCUGCCCACCUUAAGGUUUAUUCAUUCCCAUAGCUUGAGUUUUUUGGAACCUGCAAGGUCUAUGGUCUGGCUUCCUUACAGCACUGUUACUUCCUGACACCGCAGCCAACAUCCUCCUCCAUCAAAAACAAAGGAGCCCUGGCUCAGAUGGGAAGCUGCUGGAGAAUCUCACAGAAGGAGAACCAAGAAAAGUGUGAGUUAGAUGCUUGUGCUGUUUCUGUCACACUCACAGCAGCUGGAGAGCUAGUAGGGAUCAUAGAAGAGGAAACUGAGAAAGACCCGGGCGGAAGAAGGAAGGAAGGAUAGUAAAUUAGGAUUUUAUGUUAGUCAGUGCUAAAUAUCUGGAUACCUGGAGUUAGCAGAAGAGAGGUCAAACUGGAAAAAAGAAAAAAGGAAACUUGUGAAAUAAUAGAUAAAUUUUCUGAACAAAUUGAAGGAGCAGCCUCAGAUAGAACAGACUCGGGCAGAAAAGAAAAUCAAAUCCAUCUAGGAUAUGGGGGAAUUGUAAAUGAUCAAAUACAAAAUAUUCUACAAGCCUGGAGAAAUCACCAAGGAGCCCAGUUAUAAAAUUAAUAAGCAAAAA
rnacentral:lncRNA from 1 species